rnacentral:misc_RNA from 1 species
UCACAAAUAUAUACUCACUCCGUCUCAUUUUAAGCGCAACCAUGAGUUUCCGUGCCUAACUUUGAUCAUCCGUCUUAUUUGAAUUUUUUUAUUAGUAUUUUUGUUGUUAUUAGAUGAUAAAACAUGAAUAGUACUUUUAUGCAGAACUUAUGUUUUUUAAAUUUUUUUUACAAAUCUUUCAAAAUAAGACGGAUGAUUAAAUUUGAAUACGAAAACUCAUGGCUGCGCUCAGAAUAAGAUGGGGGAGUAAUGUAUUAUGU